rnacentral:tRNA from 1 species
GCCCCCAUAGCUCAGUUGGUUAGAGUGUGGUGCUGAUAACGCCAAGGCUGCAGGUUCGAUCCCUGUAUGGUACA